rnacentral:rRNA from 1 species
GACGAACGCUGGCGGCGUGCCUAACACAUGCAAGUCGAACGGAAAGGCCCUGCUUUUGUGGGGUGCUCGAGUGGCGAACGGGUGAGUAACACGUGAGUAACCUGCCCUUGACUUUGGGAUAACUUCAGGAAACUGGGGCUAAUACCGGAUAGGAGCUCCUGCUGCAUGGGGGGGGUUGGAAAGUUUCGGCGGUUGGGGCUGGACUCGCGGCUUAUCGGCUUGUUGGUGGGGUAGUGGCUGACCAAGGCUUUGACGGGUAGCCGGCCUGAGAGGGGGACCGGCCACAUUGGGACUGAGGUACGGCCCAGACUGCUACGGGAGGCAGCAGUGGGGAAUAUUGCACAAUGAGCGGGAGCCUGAUGCGACGGCGCCGGGUGCGGGAUGACGGCCUUCGGGUUGUAAACCGCUGUCGCCUGUGACGAGGCGGGAGUGACGGUAAUGGGUAAGGAAGCACCGGCUAACUACGUG